UACGGGGGGGGCAAGCGUUGUUCGGAAUUACUGGGCGUAAAGAGCGCGCAGGCGGUCGUUCAAGUCGCGUGUGAAAGCCCCCCGGCUCAACUGGGGAGGGUCACGCGAUACUGAUCGACUCGAAGGCAGGAGAGGGAAGUGGAAUUCCCGGUGUAGUGGUGAAAUGCGUAGAUAUCGGGAGGAACACCAGUGGCGAAGGCGACUUCCUGGCCUGUUCUUGACGCUGAGGCGCGAAAGCUAGGGGAGCAACGGG
rnacentral:rRNA from 1 species